UACAGAGGUCCCGAGCGUUGUUCGGAUUUAUUGGGCGUAAAGGGCUCGUAGGUGGCCAACUAAGUCAGACGUGAAAUCCCUCGGCUUAACCGGGGAACUGCGUCUGAUACUGGAUGGCUUGAGUUUGGGAGAGGGAUGCGGAAUUCCAGGUGUAGCGGUGAAAUGCGUAGAUAUCUGGAGGAACACCGGUGGCGAAGGCGGCAUCCUGGACCGGCAUUGACGCUGAGGCGCGAAAGCCAGGGGAGCAAACGGG
rnacentral:rRNA from 1 species